CAAGUCGAACGCGAAAGUUCCUUUCGGGGAGCGAGUAGAGUGGCGCACGGGUGAGUAACACGUAGGUAAUCUACCUUUGGAUUGGGAAUAACCACCGGAAACGGUGGCUAAUACCGAAUAAUGCAGCGGCACCUAAUGGUGACAGUUGUUAAAGCGGGGGAUCGCAAGACCUCGCGUCUAAAGAGGAGCCUGCGGCGGAUUAGCUAGUUGGUAAGGUAACGGCUUACCAAGGCGAUGAUCCGUAGCCGGCCUGAGAGGGCGGUCGGCCACACUGACACUGACAUACGGGUCAGACUCCUACGGGAGGCAGCAGUCGGGAAUUUUGGGCAAUGGGCGAAAGCCUGACCCAGCAACGCCGCGUGAAGGAUGAAAUCCCUCGGGAUGUAAACUUCGCAAGAACGGGAAGAAUAAGUCGGUGCCAACACCAUCGACGAUGACGGUACUGUUUGUAAGCUCCGGCUAACUCCGUGCCAGCAGCCGCGGUAAUACGGGGGGAGCAAGCGUUGUUCGGAUUUACUGGGCGUAAAGGGCGUGUAGGCGGCCACCGCAAGUCGACUGUGAAAUCUCCGGGCUUAACUCGGAAAGGUCAGCCGAUACUGCGGGGCUAGAGUGCAGAAGGGGCAACUGGAAUUCUCGGUGUAGCGGUGAAAUGCGUAGAUAUCGAGAGGAACACCUGCGGCGAAGGCGGGUU
rnacentral:rRNA from 1 species